rnacentral:rRNA from 1 species
AUACGGAGGGUGCAAACGUUGUUCGGAAUCACUGGGCGUAAAGGGCGCGCAGGCGGUUUGAUUAGUCAGAUGUGAAAGCCCACGGCUUAACCGUGGAAGUGCAUUUGAAACUGUCAGACUUGAGUACCAGAGGGGGUAGUGGAAUUCCCGGUGUAGAGGUGAAAUUCGUAGAUAUCGGGAGGAAUACCGGUGGCGAAGGCGGCUACCUGGCUGGAUACUGACGCUGAGGCGCGAAAGCGUGGGGAGCAAACAGGAUUAGAAACCCUAGUAGUCC